rnacentral:rRNA from 1 species
CAUCCGACGCUUACCAUGCAGUCGAACGGACUCUUCGGAGUUAGUGGCGGACGGGUGAGUAACGCGUGAGAAUCUGCCUUCUGGUCUGGGACAACAGAGGGAAACUUCUGCUAAUCCCGGAUAAGCCUAAGGGUGAAAGAUUAAUUGCCUGGAGAUGAGCUCGCGUCUGAUUAGCUAGUUGGUAAGGUAAAAGCUUACCAAGGCGACGAUCAGUAGCUGGUCUGAGAGGAUGAGCAGCCACACUGGGACUGAGACACGGCCCAGACUCCUACGGGAGGCAGCAGUGGGGAAUUUUCCGCAAUGGGCGCAAGCCUGACGGAGCAAGACCGCGUGGGGGAGGAAGGCUCUAGGGUUGUAAACCCCUUUUCUUUGGGAAGAAGUUCUGACGGUACCAAAGGAAUCAGCCUCGGCUAACUCCGUGCCAGCAGCCGCGGUAAUACGGAGGAGGCAAGCGUUAUCCGGAAUGAUUGGGCGUAAAGCGUCCGCAGGUGGCCAUGUAAGUCUGCUGUCAAAACCCAGGGCUUAACUCUGGUUAGGCAGUGGAAACUACAAAGCUAGAGUCUGGUAGGGGCCAAGGGAAUUCCCGGUGUAGCGGUGAAAUGCGUAGAGAUCGGGAAGAACAUCGGUGGCGAAAAGCGCUUGGCUAGACCAGAACUGACACUCAGGGACGAAAGCUAGGGGAGCGAAUGGGAUUAGAUACCCCCAGUAGUCCUAGCUGUAAACGAUGGAUACUAGGUGUUGCCUGUAUCGACCCGGGCAGUGCCGUAGCUAACGCGUUAAGUAUCCCGCCUGGGGAGUACGCACGCAAGUGUGAAACUCAAAGGAAUUGACGGGGGCCCGCACAAGCGGUGGAGUAUGUGGUUUAAUUCGAUGCAACGCGAAGAACCUUACCCAUGGCUUGACAUGUCGCGAAUCUAGGGGGAAACCUUGGUAGUGCCCUUCGGUAGCGCGAAGCACAGGUGGGUGGCAUGGCUGUCGUCAGCUCGUGUCGUGAGAUGGUUGGGGUUAAGUCCCGGCAACGAGCGCAGCCAUCGAUCUUUUAGGCUUGGCCAAGCCAUUUAAGUUUGGGGG